GGGGAGGCUGAGCAUAGGUGAGCUCAACAGACUGUAAAUCUGCCGUCUAAGACUGUGGGGGUUCGACUCCCUCUCUCCCCACCA
rnacentral:tRNA from 1 species